UCGAGAAUCUUCCACAAUGGACGAAAGUCUGAUGGAGCGACGUUACGUGAAGGAUGAAGCCCUUCGGGGUGUAAACUUCUUUUCUCUGGGAGCAAAUUAAUGAGAGUACCAGAGGAAUAAGGGGAUCCUAAUUCUGUGCCAGCAGGAGCGGUAAUACAGAAUCCCCGAAUGUUACCCGGAUUUAUUGGGCGUAAAGGGUGUGUAGGUGGUUUGGUAAGUUCAGAUUUAAAGCUCAUCGGCUUAACCUUUGAGAUGAUCUGAAUACUGCCAGACUAAGAGGGCGUUAGAGGCAAACGGAACCGAUGGAGUAGGGGUGAAAUCCGUUGAUAUCAUCGGGAACACCAAAAGCGAAGGCAGUUUGCUGGGGCGACCCUGACACUGAAACACGAAAGCGUGGGGAGCAAAAAGGAUUAGAUACCCGCGUAGUCC
rnacentral:rRNA from 1 species